GCGCACUGUAGAAGCAGGAAGAAGUGCUGUAACAUUUUAAAUACAUUGCAUGCCUGUCCUCUUUGAGAUACAACCAUUAGAAUGGAGGCUGAAACGACAAAGUUGCUUAAUAACGGCUCACGCUGCAUAUUUUUCAAUACAGAUUCAGACGACUAUCGAUGUGUGGUGAUUUUAACGGUGAAGCGAGCAACGGGCACCUUCUCAUUAGUUGGAUGAAGAUGAUUCUUAGCCUGACAGUAGCAGCCUUCUUUGACAGCGCAGCAUAUGUCAUGGGCGAGUCCCAUCCGGAAGGCUUUCUGUGCGCUUUUCAGGGGCUGUGGCUCACUUACUUUGACUGGUGUGCCCUGGCCUGGGUCUGCCUCAUCACAUUUAACCUCUACCUCAACCUGGUCAGAGAGAUCAGCACCAGCAGAUAUGAGACAUUGUACCAUGUGACCGCCUGGGGGCUGCCUCUCAUCAUGGCUGUCCUGCCCUUGCUGAAGGGCUGCUACGGUCCGGCGGGAGCCUGGUGCUGGAUCACAGACAAUCACGUAGCCUGGAGAUUUGGGAUAUGGUACGUUCCUCUGUUCACCCUCAUCGUCCUGAUGAUCUGCUGCUACGCCAGGAUCAUCUUCGUGGCCAAUCGAAGGAUGCAGUCCUGGCUUGGAACCUUCAACCCUGAGAGGGAGAGACGCAAGGUGUCCUUGGCUGAGGAUAUCAAGCCAUUAAAGUGGUACCCCUCGGUAUAUUUACUGGUGUCUCUCUUCCCCUCAUCAACAGCAAGAUUCAAGUUUCAAAGGGCUUUAUUGUCAUGGAAAAUAAACGUAACGUGGCUAAGGCCCAAACAUAAAGCUCCCAGGCGCCUUCCACCCCGUGGAUCCCUCCUUCGCCCUGACACUGCUACACGUGCUGACCGCUCCGCUCCACGGCCUGGCCAACGCGUUCGUCUUCGGGCUGGACAGGGACACCUGGGGCCUGCUCAGCCCCACGGGCAUACAGCUGGCCCUGCGGUCCCGACUGUGUGACAGCACACGUAUCGGGGAGUACCACCCCGGGGCGGUGCGCUACACGCAGGCUGACCUGACGGAGGACGAGGAGGACCUGGACGCCAACGUGCUCUUCUUCUCACCCCACAUGACCCUGAAGGACCGCACGCCCUGAGAGGGGAGGAGGGAGGAGGGAGGG
ensembl:lncRNA